rfam:Ipomoea nil DNA, scaffold: scaffold1272, cultivar: Tokyo-kokei standard.
GUCGUUGUAGUAUAGUGGUGAGUAUCCCCGCCUGUCACGCGGGAGACCCGGGUUCGAUCCCGGCAACGCG